AGCAGUGGUGGGGCUUGGGGGACGCGGUCACUACAGCUGGCAGCCGCAGGUCUGCGCCUCUCUCUUGGGCCUCUGUAGCCCCGCAGAGGCCCACACAACGCCUCCCGGGCCCCGCGGACCUGCAAACCCGGGGCCGAGAGCGGAUUUGUCUUGGGCGCUUUCCUGGGUUUGGCAGAGGGGUUGCUGGCGGGGAUCUCUGGGUUUGAGUUGGCGAUGCGCGGCGAGGAGCUGCGUCCGGGCUGGGUGCUCUCCGAGCGCGGGGAGGCGGGAUGCGCUCGCGGAGGACUGCGGGACUCUCUGCACCCGCCCGCGUUGCGCGCUCGCCCCCCGGACCCAGGAAUGCGGCCGCUUGGGCACCCCUGCCAGCGAACUGCACGCGCUCUCCGCGGAUCCCGAGCGCACAGGCCGGCUGCCGGCGCUUUGGCCUUGGAUGGAAACUGGGGAAUGGGAUGGGGGGCUCCAUACCCCCUAACGUGGAUUACUUGGUGCAUAUCAGCCGGGCUCAGAAGACCCAGGACUUCGUCACCAUCUGUGGAUUGAUUGUACCUAACAGUCGGGACGCUCACCUGGAGGUGAACUCAGAGGUUUGUGGCUGACCUGGAGAAGUUGCUUCGAACCAAGAAAGAAGGACAAGAAAAAAGACGAGCUGCGCACGGUGACAGUGAAUUGUCCCAGCCUCCUGGUGCGCCGUGCCUCAGCUCCUGCUGCCUGCUCUUUCUCUGCAGGGCCCGAGGCAGGGCACAGAGGUCUUGCAGCACACGUCAAGUAGGUGACUCAAAGCCUGCAUGUCCAGGAGACAGAGGACCAUAUGGAUUGCACCUGUUGACCUUCAGGAGCACAAAGAGUGACCUUGGCAUUAAAGGGGAUCUCAGGACUUUCUGGAAUGCUGCCGACUGAAGUCUGGCCCUAAUAAAGCAGGAUGUGGGGCAAGGGGCCACUCCCUGCCUGCAAAGGCUAGAUUUACCCAUGGCUGUCUAGACCCCACCAUCCGCAGUGUUUGCAGUUCUGGCUGCCUAGAAAAGAGGAUUGGCAAGGGCUGUUCUCCCUCACCCACACCUCCCACCAGGAAGCUUGGUGGAGCCAGCAUAUGCACCAGGACCCCCUGAAGACCUGGCUAAGAUAGGACCGUCUCUUCAGAGGGAGAGCUCUGGAUUUGAUUGAGAAUUCUUGUUUUGGAGACUAAGGAAACUUCUGGAUUUGGGAAGACAUUUGAGGAGAAAGCAAGGACCCUCGCACUGAGGAAUAGUCUGUGUGUUGACCUGCACCAGCUGGAGGUGACCUACAGUUGGAGAAGACGCCGUGAUCCCAGACCUUGUCCUUCUUUCUUGUGGAAACCGUUUUCUCUGCUACUGCCUGCUCUUAAGACUCCCUCCUCCAGCCCCGGAACCAAAGAGCUUUCUGCCACACCCUUUCUUGCCCCCUACCUCCCACGUCUGCUGUGCCUUUGGACUCAGCAAUUCUUGUUUGCUCCAUUAUCUUCCAGCCGGAUACAGAGUGAAUAGUUAACUACACUUAGGUCAAAUGGGAUCUUAAUUUUUGUUCCUGCUCCUUCUAAAGAGGCCGAUGUUUGUGUGUUGCCGUGCAAGCAGUCUUGGUAUGGUAUCCCUUCUCAUUUAUUUGGGAUCUGACCCCAUAGGUUCCAGAGUGAUAUAAAUCAGUGAAGUUCUUCAGGCUCUCAGAUGCUAGGGAUGUUGGCAGGGGCUUUGGCAGGGGAGCGGGGUCAUGAAGGCUGGUGUUCUCCAUGUUCAACUUUCUUUGUUCAGAUCACACACCUGUGUGUACAUCUAGAGGAGCAGAAAAUGAAUGCUGUUGUACAUUCCAACUUUCUUCUCUUGACACAGAUGCACAGUCAGCUGUGAAGGCCUUCUUCCCUCAUGUGGCCAUUGGAGUCCGUGCUAGAAGAUGGAGCUUCAUUACAGACUACGCAGCUGCCAGAGUUGAUGGUGUUUAUUGAGGACCCUCUUCCUCCAGUGUGUGCUGAUGACACACACACUUGACAACAAAAUACAAGUCCUGUUUGUUCCUUUCACUCUGUAGCCUCCAUAUGCGUGGCUGAAAACACUUUCUAGAUAUCCAUCGUGGUUCGACAUUGUCCAAAAUGCAAAGCCAAAGAUGUUUGUACUUUCUAUUUCCAAAGCAAAUGACUUGCCUUUGUAAAAAGAAUUAAAGCUAGACAUAUCUGUCUUCCCUGUGUUGUAGACGAUGUCUUUGUGUGACCAUUUAGUGACGUGGGUGUCUUCUGAGUGGAGUGAUGGGCUCCUUCUUGGCAUCUCAGGUUCACCACAAAUUGAGAGAGGAGAACUCUGGAGGAGCUUUCGUGCUAUUGAAAUGUGAGGCUUGUUUGUGGGCUUUCACCUUCCUUCUUGACCUGCAGACAGACUCUUUGUAUUAGUUAGAUUCCUUUGGGUUUCAAGGACUGAGGGGUUUCCCAGGACACAGGACUUUCAGUGCUAAAUCUGGGACAGUCCUGAACAAACUGGAACAAUUGGUCACCCUACUGGGUGACUUGAUGACCCUUCCUCUGCUCCUGCUUUACCUGCUGUAACCAGCUGAUGCUCUUGAUUGGUUUGGUCAGUUGCCAUUCAGAGCUCUUGUGACUGGCCACUUCAUUGGCCACUGGGCAGCCUAUAAAUGGAUGCCAUUGGAUCAGGUACUAAUCUUGACCAAAUUGUUGGUCAAGUUGUUUCCAAGGUGGUAGGGUUGCAUGAUAUUUAAUAAAAACCUGGGUGUAAAGAACCAGCUGAGACCACUUCCUUCAGAAGAGUGCUGUGGACACUGGGUAUGACAGGCUUUGAAGGUAUCAGGGAUUCCUCUCCAAUACAAUCCUAUGUAUAAAGGUGAAGUUAACCUUUCUUUUUAAGAACAAAACAGUUCAUUAAGAAACAAAAACUAACACAGCCUCUGGGAACAGUGGGAUAGACUAUGACGUGUGUGUGUGUGUGUGUGUGUGUGUGUGUGUGUAUCAUACAUGGACGUACUAUGUAGAAUAAUGAGUCAAGAAGAAAAUUCUGCAUCUUUGCUAGACAGAGACUAAGAGCUAAAAUCUUUGGGGUGGUGUUGUCUGGAGAGCAAAGGAGUUGGCUAGAGGACUUCCUGACGUUCCUUUGAACUCUAGGAUCCUUUAAAAUAUCAAGGGCUGUAAAUUGGGCCUAAGUGUGUGCUUUCUUCUAAAGUCUCCUAGAUAACCUUUGAGUUCAACUCAGAUAGUGUUGAGUGGGACCUCCCAGCUCACUCUUGCCUUUCCAUACACUGACUUUAUCUGGGAUAAAGGAGCGGAACUUGGUGGUGGUAGUGGGGGGUGGAGGAGGGAAAGGUUGUGCCAGCCCAAUUUUUGGUGUUCAUGACAAGUAAGAACAAUCUGAAGGCAAAUUACAGGUUCUUUUCAGGUUAGUCAAAGCCAGGCUUUCAGGAUUGCAUGCCUUCCUGAAGUUGUUCCUUCUUGUCAGGGGAUCAGGCCUCCAUCUUUUCUGCUGAAAGACGGGUGUGAGCAUCUGUGGUGCUGGAACACGAGCCUUCAGCUAAUCCCGCUCAUCUUGCAUGGUGUAGCCACAGGGAGGUCAUUGCAUGCUAAGGUAGAGAUGAGCAUGCAAACAUCUAGAAACUAUUCCCUCAUUACCUACAUGUAAAGAUUGAGAGCCCCCUCACAAGCACCUGGGUCUUUGCCCCUCUUCUGGCUCUGACUGCCUUCACUGCCAUCGAGGGAAUGCUAGCCCAGAUUCUUGGGUGCCAUUUUUCUUUUUAAAAAGAUGAACUCAUUUCAGAUGUUUCCUUCACUUAUGUUCCGCUUAUAGUCUUUGGUUUCAGAAGAAGUCCCGCUGUUAUGCCAAAGGCAACAAUCUCCUCUCUCUCUCUUCUUAUCUUCUCAUCCACGUGGAAUCUCAGAAUCCCAGAGCUUGAAGUGGUCUAAAGCAUCGCCCUAAUCUAGAUCUACCUCUGACUAAUGCAGGAAUCCCCUUUCCGUCAUUGGACGAGGGAUUGUCCAGCCCUGGGAGAGGCAACCUUCUUGGCAGGGUGGGAGAGGACUGUGAGAGAAGGUUGAAUGAUAUUCAACCUGGUGGGGAAGCAGUAGAAUUUUAAAGAGCAGUUCAUGGGCUGCCAAGUGACCACGAAUGUCAAUUUCUUAAUGAGAUUUUGAGCCAAAUGCAUUUUGCGCUGUCCCCCACGUGCAUCAGUCUCUUAUUUCUGGAUCCAAGUAGUGUGUCUUAUGCUGAUAAAAAGCACAGAAUGGCGAGGCAAGGAGACCUGAGUUUUUGUCUCAGAAAGCCCCCUGUUUUAGUUCCUUCCCUGUAAAAUGAGGGAGUUGGGCCACAUGAUCCCAGAAGCCUCUUCUAGCUCUGACAUCCAAAAUGCUGUCAUAUUUCAUAGAGUUCACGACUUAAAGAUUUGCUGGUUUUGUUCCAUAGGAGAAUAGUAUAUUAGACAUUGCCCAAGGUACAAUGUAAAGGUAUUUUAUCCACAUGCUGAACAUAUUCAUCUUGCUUCAAUUCAUCAUGAACAUAACCUCAAUUUAGUGCCCCCUCCCCCGCCCAAGAUUUUGUUGAAGCUCCCCUGUGAGAUUUUCCCAUGGCAUUGGAACUUGACCCACAGGGAACUUUUAUGCUCUUCCAGUGGUCCUGGAAAUCUGUGUGUUGAUGGAAAGAUAGGAGGUUCUAACGGUGAAGUAAGUCCCUCUGCUCUGGAGGAUAUGGUUUAAAGGGCAUAGGGUGACCUUGGAUAUGGCUACUAACCUUGGAUAAGACUCUCUCAUGCCAGGCUGGUGGAAAGCAGGGCUGGUUCCCCUCCCUCUACUUUGGGGAGCGAGCAGGGAGCAAGACCAUCUCUGCCUGGGCCUGAAAAGAGCCCUGAACUGGGGAGUCUGGAAAUUGUAGUCCUGCCUUCACUUCAAUUUGCUCCAAGAUCAUCUGUCACUUAAGCCCUUUCUCUGGGUCUCGUUUUCUCAUCUAUAAAAUGGGAGAGGGAAGGGGAAGUGGUUGGUCUUGAUGAUCCUCUAAGGGCCCUCCCAUGUGUCAAGUUCUAAGCCUUGCCUGACCCAGCUGAUGUCUGCUGUUCUCAGCAGACAAGUAGCUUUUUUCUCCCUUUGCCUUCAGCUACACAAGCCCCAAAACAGGCUGUCCUGGGAAGUCCAUUACCAAAGAAUACUUCAAAGCUGUUUGCACUUGUUGUCAGUUGCACUGAACAUGAGUUUGUUGAGGGAGAAAGCAAAUAGACAUACAGACUGAUGGCAGGAGGGGGAAGGAGAAUGCUGUUUGCCUGGGGUGACUAGCAGGAGAAAAAAAAACGUGCCUGCAGUUUUGACCAAUAAAUAAAAACUGGGAGCUCUGCGUGGCUAAAGCUGUGGGGGAUUUAUUAGUUUGCUCAGUGAAAGGCAAAUAUUAAGUCUUAAGUUGACCCGUCCUGGGACCUGCCUUUUGGCUUUUGUAUGCCGUCCGGCGCCGAUCACCGUGUACUCCGGGUUAUCGGGUUCUGUCGAAGGGGUUUUUUUCAUUGUUUUCCGUCUCCUUCUCCUUUUCUUCCUUCUUUGCCUCCUCCCCCCUACUCCCCCACCUUUUACGGUAACUCAGGUCUGGGUUCUGGAGAGGUAAGGAGAGCAGGGUGUGGAAGACAUGUUGUCCUGUUCAUAAAACUGCCCAUAAUCAGGGCUCUGACUGGCCCGGGAACUUCUCAUGCCCGCUAUGUGGUGGUCUUUGUGGGUCCCCCCCAUUCUCUGCCCUGAACCCUUAAAGUUAGGUCCCAGGCUGUUGGGCAAAAGCCUUGCCUCUCAUUAAAAAAAUGAGCAUAACCGUGGGCAUUGGAGAAAGAUAGAGAUCUCGUGUUUCUAAAUUGCAGCCUUUCCUUCAUAUGUGACUGUUCACACCUGACAGUGACGGAUGAUUUCAGCCUGAUGCACUGAAAGAUGAGCUGCUAAAGGCAGAGCUGCGAGUGCUGUUUAGGGUCUGACCAGGGCUUGUCACUCUCCGUGGAGUGAAAUAUUGGGACUCGAGGGGCUGGACAGCUACCCAGUCUAUCCAGUUUCCAAGUAUGAGCUGCAAUGAAACUGAGCUAAAUGGAACAUUCUUUAAACAUCGCCUUCAACAUCCUCAGUGAGUGCCAGUCUAUUCUAAAGCAGUGCAGUUCUGGGUACUCAGGUCUCAUGGGCGGUGCUUGCUAAUAUCUACCCACUUUGGGGUACAGGACACUCGGGCACAUUGCUCCAUGUCAGACCCGAAAUGCCCUUUUCCAAGUCCACCCUGGUAUUUGUCCAUGGAGGGUCCAUCUUUCUAACCUACUUGGAAUGUCACGGUUCCCUGCCAUUACUCAUGCAGCCAAAAGUUGAGAAUGUUCUGGAAUUGCUUAAUUAAGAAAGUUCCUUUCACACUCCAGUGGUGAUUUUUGAUUGAACUCAGCAUGAUUUUUAAUCGUCUGGCAGUUCUUCCUGGAUGAGGUUAUUUUUUUAAAAGAUUGAUGUUGGGUACCCAGGCUACUGAAAUCCUGCUAGUCCUUCAAGGCUCAUCUCAAAUGCUCUCUUCUCUAGGAAGCCUUCCUGGAUUUCUCCUUCCCUCUCAACCAGUUUUGACCUCCCCCUCAUGUAUUCUUUUAAAGCAUCUGGCAUUGGAUAGGUACUCAAAAAAUGCUGAUCCCAGGGCGGGCCCAGUGGCUAGUGGUUAAGUCUGUGCGCUCCACUUCGGUGGCCUGGGGUUCGCUGGUUCGAAUCCUGGGUGCAGACCUAUGCACACUUAUCAAGCCAUGCUGUGGAGGUGUCCCACAUACAAAAUAGAGGAAGAUGGGCACAGACGUUAGCUCAGGGCCAAUCUUCCUCACCACAAAAAACAAAGCUGAUUCACUCCUCCCUUGACCAUAGCACUUUUCAUAUGUCAUUUACUGUGCUUAUACAGAACUUGUUUUAACUACCCCCUUCUCCCCAACUGCCACUCUCUGUACCCUAUAAAAGCAGGAACUGGGUUAUUCACAUAUUGAAAUUUAUCCCUGAAAUGCCCACUGAUAUUCAGGAUCACGUAGCGGGCACUGUGAUUGACAUUUAAUCCUCAGAAAACAGAGAUUUUCAGGGAUCAAUCACUUGGGCCAAGUUUUAUAUGUGAAAAUUGGGGUUCAAGACCAAGGUCGGUGAGGACCUCAAGUUCAGAGCUCUUAGGUUGCAGCGUGGUGGCUUUUACAUGGUAAAUGUACAAAAAAGAUGUUGAGUUGACUCUUCCGAUUAAUGAUCUGUUUCUGUGUGUCAUGCCAAACUUGCCUGUAUUUUGUUUGCCCACUAUUAAUCAAUAAAGUGUUUUCUAUCCAGCUGAGAAAGAGAAAACGUGCUUGUUGCUUGCUUGGUUGGUUUCCCUGUAGAAGCUCUUCUUGAAAUGGACUGUGUCUGGUUUUGGCCAGUUAUCUGAGAGCUAGGUUCAUUUUUAA